rnacentral:rRNA from 1 species
CUACGGGGCGCAGCAGUGGGGAAUCUUGCACAAUGGAGGAAACUCUGAUGCAGCGAUGCCGCGUGAGUGAAGAAGGCCCUUGGGUUGUAAAGCUCUUUUGUCGGGAAAGAUAAUGACUGUACCCGAAGAAUAAGGUCCGGCUAACUUCGUGCCAGCAGCCGCGGUAAUACGAAGGGACCUAGCGUAAUUCGGAAUUACGGGGCGUAAAGCGCGCGUAGGCGGUUAAGUAAGUUAAUUGUGAAAGCCCAAAGCUCAACUUUGGAAUUGCAAUUAAAACUACUUAGCUAGAGUUUAUCAGAGGAAAGCGGAAUACAUAGUGUAGAGGUGAAAUUCGUAGAUAUUAUGUAGAACACCAGUCGCGAAGGCGGCUUUCUGGGAUAACACUGACGCUGAGGUGCGAAAGUAUGGGUAGCGAAGAGGAUUAGAUACCCUUGUAGUC